CACCCCUACGCAGAAGAGGAAGAAAGAGACACAGCCAGUGACGAAAUUCCUUUCCUCUGCACAGUUGCAGUGUGGAGUAGGCUUGUCUGGAGAUUCAGAACCUCUCGGGAGGUUUCGCUUUGGCAUCUUGUUUAAGUUGUCUUCAAAUAGUAAUAGAAUGCACCACACAAUCCUGGCAUUUACAUAGCAGGCCUUAUCCCCAUUUCACAGGUGGGUGAGUCACUUUACCUUUCUGUUUUCUCACACCCUACUAAGUUUGUGACAGAGCCAGAAACAGUGUCAAGUGGCCUGACAGUAAAUCCCCUCUGCUAACCAUUACACCGCACUGCUUUCCUCACUGCCUGGCCCAAUAAAAUUAAUUUUUCCUUUUAUUUUGCAGAGAUAUUGGCAGUUACUGUGGCAUUUAACACCCAUCAUGAAAUAGCCCCAUAGCAGUUAACCUGGGCUAUGGACAUCUUCCACACGGGGAGGACUGGAGCACUGGGCCACUUCUGCAUGUUUACACCUGGGGUCUUGGGAAUCACCUGGUACAGACUCUCACCUGUGGCACUGGCAUAGACGACUCUAGCUCGAGGCAGUUUGUUCUGAAGGUCCAACACUGCUUUGCCCAUUUUAGUGGAGCUGGCAUUUUUGGCUUUGUGGCAUUCAUCAAACACAAUCUAUAAGGGAAUCUUAGUCAAGGACAAAAGGAUGCGCAGUCUGCUAUGGUCAUAUAAAUAAAUACUAAUGCUAAUAAUGAU